AACGCGAAGAACCUUACCUGGGCUUGACAUGCUGGUGAAAGCCGGUGGAAACAUCGGCCCCUCUUCGGAGCGCCAGCACAGGUGCUGCAUGGCUGUCGUCAGCUCGUGUCGUGAGAUGUUGGGUUAAGUCCCGCAACGAGCGCAACCCUUGUCUCAUGUUGCCAGCGGGUAGUGCCGGGGACUCGUGAGAGACUGCCGGGGUCAACUCGGAGGAAGGUGGGGAUGACGUCAAGUCAUCAUGCCCCUUAUGUCCAGGGCUUCACACAUGCUACAAUGGCCGGUACAAAGGGCUGCGAUGCCGUGAGGUUAAGCGAAUCCUUUAAAGCCGGUCUCAGUUCGGAUCGGGGUCUGCAACUCGACCCCGUGAAGUCGGAGUCGCUAGUAAUCGCAGAUCAGCAACGCUGCGGUGAAUACGUUCCCGGGCCUUGUACACACCGGAGUGC
rnacentral:rRNA from 1 species